UGGGGAGCUGGUUCCAUGGAC
rnacentral:miRNA from 1 species